GUUUGCGCACACACCACUUUGGCUACACAGGAAAGAGAACAUGGACUCUGCCUUCUCUAACUGGAGCUGGCAGGAAAAGAAGGGGCUCCUGGAGCUGAUGGAACAGAGCUGGUGAAUCCUAGUUCAAGCAUGCCCUGAGCCUGGUGACCAGGGUGAGCUGAGUGUGCCAGCCGUUAACCGCCACCAGGCUGAGCGGGAGCCGGAAGCUGUUGGAAUGCAACGGACAUGGGAAACCUUGGGUACCCUCCUCACCAUCAGGAGCUUGGAUAGGACCCAGAAGCAAUGUAGGACGUCCUGCAAGGAGUAAGGUCAGUUUCCUCCGACGGUGGCCAUACAACUUCAGAUUCCCUUGGAACCACUAGGAAUACGUCUGUUUGCACUUGUGCUCUGUGACCAAGAAUCCCUGGCCUGGUACAGAGCCCCUUCGAGGACAGCAGCCCAGUGCUUCUAUUGCAGGAAUGAUUGCAGGCCCGGCUUCCAGACACUGUUAGAAGAGGCCAGUCAGGAGAGAACACGGCCUCUGAGGGAACUCCUCUCAGCUUUCAUGUUCUCUCUCAAGCAUCAGGGUUGGCUUCAGAAGAUGCUUGACCUAGAGGACAGAUUCUUAUGGAAACGACAGGCUCAACUUCCAUUUCCUCCCCCAGGAGACCAGCUGUGAAAGAAGUUUUCAUCAUAGGAUGCUGUGCCCAGAGUUCAGAUUCCCUCAGAGCACACGAAGAUGCCCAUAGAGGGCUCUCAACUUGAAAAACACUUUUGCUCAGAGAGACCCAACUGUGAGAGUAGAGAAUGCUCUGUCUAGCUUUUGAUCCCCUCAAAGGUAUGGAGUCUCCCUUGGGGCAAAUCUGGUAGGCAAACAGAAUUGAGUGGAAGUCCAAAGGGACCAGGGCAUCCUUCAGUGGAAAUAUCUCAAGGGAUUCUGAUGACCAGAGAGGAUUCUCAAAUAUGCCCUCUGGUUCCCAAGAGAAGACCACACCGCUGUACACAGAGUUCUUCAGAGGACAGAGUAGAUAAAGGAUGCCAGACAAGUACCACAGGUGCCUUACAAAGGGGCACAGUGUCAAUCAAAGAUUGUCUCAGUUGUCAUGACAUCUGGUUAUGAAGAUUCCUUCUGUUUCUGGUCAUGAAUAUUGCUUCCAUGUAUGGUCAACCCAGGGUUUGAACUCCCUAGAAUAAUUUCAGGUGUUUGUAUCUUUAAGUAUUUCCCGGAAGAAUAUGCAGAAGCUCCUCUUCCGGGAGCCAUCGAUGAGCCCAUUGAUGACCAGUCUACUGUGGCUACAAGUGAAGGCAUUGCCCUCUCAGGCUGGAGCCUGAUGGGAUCCAAUGAAGGAGAGGCUUCCUGAGUGCCAGACCUCCUGGUGUACAGCCCUUCACCUCUGCUUUAGACCCCCACCUCCUACUCCCCAUCUCUGUUGGUCAUGUUAUAGUUACUCAGGCGCUGUGUGUGCUCUUACCAGAUGCAUAGAGAGGUAGUGUGUGCUUUGUUUUUGGAUCGUAGGGGUAGCUGUCGCUAUCAAGAUCUUCAGGACCAAACACAGUGUCCUUCCUCUGCCAGAUACAGAAGCUUAACCACUUCUUGUUUCCCCCUCCAGAAGCCAGAGACCUUCAUGGUGGAUGCCCCCCUUCCCAGGACCCUCCUAUCCCACUGUGCUGUGUACACACCCAGACAUCUACUGGUCCAGAUGACAGACUCCUUAUGAUGAUGCUUCAAACAAUGGAGAUUAGUUCGCAGAGUGCCUGUUCUUGUGUGCCAAAUCCCUCAGAGGAUACCUGACAUGGUAUGAAUUCCCUCAGCACGCAAGUCCGGUUUGUGCAUAUCCCCGUGGAUGGUGGGCAUGGCAUGUCAGUUCCCUAAAAUCAGGGAGAGGCCAUGCCCUCAGGAUGCUCAACUUAGUUUUCAAAGUCCCUCAGAAAACACAUAAACUCCCCCAGUCCCCACAGCCAAUGCCAAGACUUGCAAGGACAUUUCUUCAGGAAAAUUCCAGAGGUGGUAUCUGUUAUGAUUCCUGUUAGGGAAACCCAGGAAUCACUGCCUUAUGGUGUCCAGAGAAUGCCUGCCAGCAUGUCAUAUUCCUCGGGGAUACCAGGCUCUGAUUGUCACAGUGGUGCUACUGCUGUGGGGCUCACCACAGAGGACACCCUGCCCUGCUUUUGGGUUCUCUCAGGUAUGCGUGCUCUCUCAGAUGAAGCCUGUCAGCACAGCAGAAUCCCCUUCAAGGGACCUUUGUCUGUAGCAACCAUUCUCCUCGUCAUCUACCCAUGGCAGGAGCCCAAGAGCAUCUUGGCAAAUCUCUUCCCUCAUGUAAAAACAGAAUUUUCUUGCCAGGGGUCCAUGUCCCCCUAAAGGAAAACAGUGGUGUCUCUCCUAAUGUGGUUAUUUUGACUCCAGUGUUAAUCAGAAUUUAAUUAAACAGUCACGAGUUGCAAUUAUCUUCAAUGGGGUAACGGAAUAAACUUUAUCCAGAGACAUCUUGAAAAAGAUAUCAACACCUUGCUGAAGAAGAAACCUGGCCAUAUAUUCUGAAUCAAUUUUCAUAACUAUUCCUCCCAAGCUUGAGUCUGUGCUGAAUCUUUGCAACGUCAUCCAAUCUUGCAGCCUUGUGAAUUUUCCCAAUAUCAGUGUAGCUUUUGAGCUGUCUGGAGGAGGCGGGGCUAGCACUCUGACACUACCACCCAGGGCCAGGGAAAGGCGUCCCCUGGCUGGUGGAUGAUCGGGAAGAAGACUGCCUUUUCUGAAGAAGCCCAAGAACUUCUUCAUGGUGGAGCUUCCCACACCUGACAACCCGCGGGCUGUUGGCCCCCCUCACAACCAACACAGUGAUGUAGCUCUGAAAGGAAGCCAAGCGAGUCUCACCAGCACCACCCAUGACCACAAAGAGGAACCCACAGGCAAGACUGUGGGGUAGAGUCGCAGCAGCACAGGUGCUCCUGUCAACUGCAACUGCAACCCACUGUCGCCAAGCAACGCAUCUAAACACAGAUGCAGGCACUCCUCCCAUUGGGACAGCCUAGGUCAAACAGCUGUGACAGGUCCCGCAGUCUCAGCAUGCCUACUGCGCAUGCUCAAGACCUGAUGGUUAAAUCAGCUUACUAGCUCAACCCAUCUUUGCCUUCAAACAGCAGGGGCUUCGAAUGGCCCCUUGGCCCGGUUUGCCUUCCCUUGUCCUGGCUGUCAGAUGUGUCUCCUUCAGUUAUGAACCUGACGUAACAUUUCAACAUUUUAAUUUUUUACUCCUUUACCCCUCAUGGGUCCUAGGACCCCUUUGUUUCUUUAGGUAAUUAUGCCGAUUUGAAAUUUGACUGAGCAUGAGCCUAGAAACGAGUCAGUGAAGAGUGGUAGUCUCCCCUGGUCUCUGCUUGAGUCCCUGCCUCCAGCGGCCUGCCUUCAGCACAUGCCUGAAUUAAAAGACUGGCAGUGCCACCCAUGCUCAGUGAAGCCCAGUGGGUCGGAGGCCGCUCCUGCUGAGACUGGUUCUCACUCUUCUUUGAUGUAAAGCACAUCUGUGACAUGAACAAUACUCUAAUACACCCUUCUCGUACUGGGAGGUGCAGAGUAGUGUGUGAACACAUCACUAAAACACACACAGAAGGCGGAGUGCAACACUCUCGCCUUUGCUCUGCCUCCUGAGCUCUCCAAUAAGCGCCCAAGCUGCGUCCUACCCGAGCUUCUCACAGUCCUCUGAGUUUCUUUCAUAUUGUGGAGUUAAGGUCAAAUAUAUCUUUACUUUCUCUUUGACCUAUAAAUUGAGUAAUAGCAACUUCAGAUAUCCAUAUAUUUAUAUUGUGGAGUGGCCCCAAACAGCUGACCACCCCGUUGCCUUGACAGGCUUAGAGGCCCAGGCACAGCUUCUGUGACAGGCUUACUGGCAGGCAACACCGGGAUCCAGGAAAAGCUGUAAGCUGACCCUACCUAGGGAUCCACCCAGAGAUGGGGAAGUAUCUGACAUCCCAAACAUUCCAACCAUUAGAUAAGGUGGCCAGAUAUCCCCGAGUCUCGCACACACCUGUUUUUGUUUUACAGAUACCCCUAGACAAUUGUCAGCCAGUCAGGGUCCUGGACCCUGGAAAUCCCCUCCCCCCAACCUCUGCUAUGAUAAAAAAAAAAACCCACAAAAACAAAAACAAAACUCUUCCCUGCCUGGGAUCAGGGCUUUCUCCUCUCACUGCUGCAUCAGACAGACAGAGGGACCAAGCUCAGAGCUUGAAAUAAAGGCUCUUUGCUUUUACGUGCA